AACAGCCGGGGCUCCAGCGGGAGAACGAUAAUGCAAAGUGCUAUGUUCUUGGCUGUUCAACACGACUGCAGACCCAUGGACAAGAGCGCAGGCAGCGGCCACAAGAGCGAGGAGAAGCGGGAAAAGAUGAAACGGACCCUUUUAAAAGAUUGGAAGACCCGUUUGAGCUACUUCUUGCAAAAUUCCUCUACUCCUGGGAAGCCCAAAACCGGCAAAAAAAGCAAACAGCAAGCUUUCAUCAAGUAAGUUGAGAAUCCUGUGCUUGCAAAUAUCAAUAGUUAGCUGCUGAACUGAAAAGGGGAACUCUGAUGUGCGUAAGCUAACAUACAGAACCUCUCUUGCAGGCCUUCUCCUGAGGAAGCACAGCUGUGGUCAGAAGCAUUUGACGAGCUGCUAGCCAGCAAAUAUGGUCUUGCUGCAUUCAGGGCUUUUUUAAAGUCGGAAUUCUGUGAAGAAAAUAUUGAAUUCUGGCUGGCCUGUGAAGACUUCAAAAAAACCAAAUCACCCCAAAAGCUGUCCUCAAAAGCAAGGAAAAUAUAUACUGACUUCAUAGAAAAGGAAGCUCCAAAAGAGGUAAGGAAACAAGUUCCUAAUUUCAGCACAAUCUGGACAUCUUUAGCACAAAAGUGAAACAAAAUAAUCAAGGACAAAGCAGGGCUAGAAGGAGGG
rnacentral:sRNA from 1 species